GUGAUACAGAGCUUGCCUAGUAUUCACAAGACCUUGAGUUUGAGCCAAUAGAACUUCAAAGUAAGCAGUAAAAGGAAUGAUAAAAUGGAGGAUACGCACAGCCAGCGUCAGCAAGAAACAGGCACUGAGGUUAGUCCUUACAAUGAGAACGGUGCUCACAAUAACUGUACUUAGUGGCAGAUCAACAAGUCAAGCCAACAAGGUGUUCUACAGGGAGGCUGUGAAGAGAAGACACCAAGAGAAACACAAGAAGUCCUGAUACCUUCAAGAUGCCAUUUGGAAGCUGGGUUUUAAAAAGAACUAUCAGAUGUCACAUGAAAACAAGAGACCAUGAAAAGAGGAGGCAUCUGAGUUUCUGAAAGCGCUCUGCUUGUUCAGAGAAAAGACAGUAGCACCUCUCUUCUUUGUUGGAGGGGGUCUCUCUCACUGCUCUGGCCCUAUGUCUGUAACUCUUCAAUUACCUAGCCUCCUGGGUGAUUUUCAAGUAAAAUCUCCCACUUCCUCGUCCUUCAGUCACUGAAUAAAACAUUUCUUUCACUGUA
rnacentral:lncRNA from 14 species